rnacentral:rRNA from 1 species
UGUCAAAUCAUCAUGCCCCUUAUGACCUGGGCUACACACGUGCUACAAUGGCCGCGACAGAGGGAAGCCAAGCCGCAAGGCGGAGCGAAUCCCAAAAAAGCGGUCUCAGUUCGGAUCGUGGGCUGCAACCCGCCCGCGUGAAGAUGGAGUUGCUAGUAAUCGCGAAUCAGCAUGUCGCGGUGAAUACGUUCCCGGGCCUU